rnacentral:misc_RNA from 1 species
UGAGGGUUAUAUGGUAAUAUAGAGUAUGUCCUUAUGAAGGUAUACCCCUACCUGAAUAACUUUUUUAUUGUGCUCUAUAUUAUGUACAUUGUACAUGUCUAUACAUGUUCGUUUUUUAAUUUUGCAUAUUGAAACUUUUGCAUUGUAAUUUAUUUAGUUGUUAUCAAUUAUACAUAUUUGUUAAAAAUUU